GAUGAAGAACGUAGCGAAAUGCGAUAAGUAAUGUGAAUUGCAGAAUUCAGUGAAUCAUCGAAUCUUUGAACGCACCUUGCACCCUUUGGACUGCUCCAAAGGGUAUGCUCGUUUGAGUGUCAUUGUACUCUCACACUCUCUGAUCCUUUGGAUUUGGGGAGCGGUGGACUUGGGUGCUUGCUGCUUCCUUGUGGCUCACCUGAAAUGCAUCAGUGCAUCUCUCGAUUGGACAUAGUACGGCGUGAUAAGUGUCUUCGCCGGCACCUCAUAUGAGGGUGGCCGAUCGGGAGCUCUGUGCUUUCAAACCGUCUUCGGACAACGCUGACAACUUGACCUCAAAUCGAGUAGGACUACCCGCUGAACUUAAGCAUAUCAAUAAGCGGAGGA
rnacentral:misc_RNA from 1 species